AACGAGACCUUAACCUGCUAAAUAGCCAGGCUAGCUUUGGCUGGUCGCCGGCUUCUUAGAGGGACUAUCGGCUCAAGCCGAUGGAAGUUUGAGGCAAUAACAGGUUAACCUUCACAGGCCUGUAACAGUGGGCCUCACAAAAUAACCGCUAGUCCAGCGUCUUUACCUUCUCAGGGGAAGUCCCCUAACUGUCGGGAGAAGGCGAGCCCCCCCGGGGGUUCGUGAUGCGGGCAACACUACCUGGUACAGGG
rnacentral:rRNA from 1 species